rnacentral:lncRNA from 1 species
UCUUCAUAUGUCAAAAUUAGAUUCUGGGCCAUAGGCCUCGGCUCCCAAGCUUGGAUCAAUAGCAACAUCCUCAUCCUCAUCUGACUCUAUUUCUGAAUCCGACAUCCGAUGCUCCUCAUCGGUAGGCACAUCAUCAUCAAACGGAUCUAAAAUGUCUGGACCAAUCUGCAAUAGUACUUUUGCAUAUGAACCAAAAGGAUAGUAAAGCUCCAUAGCUCGAAUAUCCUAUUCGGUAGCUGGGUGACC